GAGACUAGAUUUAAAAGUAAUGUAGGAGGGAAUCAGAGAGAUGGCUCAGUGGUCAAGAGCACUGACUGUUCCUUCAGAGUACUCAGGUUCGAUUCCCAACACCCACAUGGCAGCUCACACCCAUCUGUGGUUUCAGUUUCAUAGGGUAAAAAUGACCUCUGGCUUCUGUGGUCACCAGACUUGUGCGGUGCAUGUAAAUCACGCAGGCCUAUAACUGACAAUCAUCAGUGUUGAUUUUUUGCAACCAGAUAGAAAAGGAGUUUGCUGUCUCAUGUUUUACAGCAGGGUUUGUUGGCUUUUCAACUAGUCUUUAGUUGGGUGUUGUCAACACCUGCAUCUUUUUGGCACCACUCAGAUUCAAUUAACUGGCUUUGCUUUCUUCAUUAACAAAAGCAUUUGACAC